GUUUGAUCAGGGUUGGAGCUGAACUCUGCUGGAAAGUAGAUCUCCAGGAACAGGCUUGGGCACCCCUGGACUAGAAUUAGCAAGUAAACAAGGCUGUCCAGUAUUAAGGGAAAUCAUUGUACAACUCAAGCUUUGCUUCUGGCCGCGGGCCAGGCUUCACAGGCACAAUGUUUAUCCAUACUACAGGGAGCUGGACCGUGUGUGUGAGUACCCCCCUUGGGCCCCUGAGCCCGGCGCAGCCCACACAUUCAGCGUAUUCCGCGCGAGCGCUCAGCCUGCAGGCGUG